rnacentral:rRNA from 1 species
GACGAACGCUGGCGGCGUGCCUAAUACAUGCAAGUUGAGCGCUGAAGGUUGGUACUUGUACCGACUGGAUGGGCAGCGAACGGGUGAGUAACGCGUGGGGAAUCUGCCUUUGAGCGGGGGACAACAUUUGGAAACGAAUGCUAAUACCGCAUAAAAACUUUAAACACAAGUUUUAAGUUUGAAAGAUGCAAUUGCAUCACUCAAAGAUGAUCCCGCGUUGUAUUAGCUAGUUGGUGAGGUAAAGGCUCACCAAGGCGAUGAUACAUAGCCGACCUGAGAGGGUGAUCGGCCACAUUGGGACUGAGACACGGCCCAAACUCCUACGGGAGGCAGCAGGAGGGAAUCUUCGGCAAUGGACGAAAGUCUGACCGAGCAACGCCGCGUGAGUGAAGAAGGGUUUCGGAUCGUAAAACUCUGUUGGUAGAGAAGAACGUUGGUGAGAGUGGAAAGCUCAUCAAGUGACGGUAACUACCCAGAAAGGGACGGCUAACUACGUG